rnacentral:rRNA from 1 species
CCAAUAGCGUAUAUUAAAGUUGUUGCAGUUAAAAAGCUCGUAGUUGAAUUUCGGAAUUUGUCGGUUGGUCGGGCUUCACUGUCCGCACUGACCUGAUGGAUUCCUACCUUCUGAAUAACCAGCAUGCUAUUAAGUUAGUGCGUUGGGGAAGCAGAGCUAUUACCUUGAAAAAAUUAGAGUGCGUAAAGCAGGCUUGUGCUUGAAUAGAUUAGCAUGGAGUAAUAAAAUAGGACGGCAUGGUUCUAUUUUGUUGGUUUCUAGGAUCACCGUAAUGAUUAAUAGGGAUAGUUGGGGGCAUUAGUAUUCAAUUGUCAGAGGUGAAAUUCUUGGAUUUAUUGAAGACUAACUUCUGCGAAAGCAUUUGCCAAGGAUGUUUUCAUUAAUCAAGAACGAAAGUUAGGGGAUCGAAGACGAUCAGAUACCGUCGUAGUCUUAACCAUAAACUAUGCCGACUAGGGAUCGGACGAUGUUAAUUUUUUAAUGACUCGUUCGGCGCCUUACG